CACGUAGUUAGCCGGGGCUUCUUAGUCAGGUACCGUCAUUUUCUUCCCUGCUGAUAGAGCUUUACAUACCGAAAUACUUCCUCACUCACGCGGCGUCGCUGCAUCAGGGUUUCCCCCAUUGUGCAAUAUUCCCCACUGCUGCCUCCCGUAGGAGUUUGGGCCGUGUCUCAGUCCCAAUGUGGCCGUCCACCCUCUCAGGCCGGCUACUGAUCGUAGGCUUGGUAGGCCUCUACCCUGCCAACUACCUAAUCAGACGCGGGCCCAUCUUACACCACCGGAGUUUUUACCACCCUGCCAUGCGGCAAUGUGGUCUUAUGCGGUAUUAGCAGUCAUUUCUAACUGUUAUCCCCCUGUGUAAGGCAGGUUGCCCACGCGUUACUCACCCGUCCGCCGCUCAGUCACUUCCUCGUCCCUCCGAAGAGUUCUAAUGAAGUGCUUCGCUCGACUUGCAUGUGUUAGGCACGCCGCCAGCGUUCAUCCUGAGCCAGGAUCAAACUCU
rnacentral:rRNA from 1 species